GGGCCCGUAGCUCAGCCAGGUAGGGGGUUCCGCCUAGAGCGGUGGGCUCUUAACCCAUAGGUCGUGGGUUCGAAUCCCACCGGGCCCGCCA
rnacentral:tRNA from 1 species